rnacentral:lncRNA from 1 species
UUAAUCACAGAAAGGAAUAGUUCUCUAGAAGACUCAACUCAGGAGAACCUGAGUUUAAAUUAUCCUCCUGACAUUUCCUAUCUGGGUAAAGAAGGGCAAAUUAAAAAAAAAAAAGAUUUUAAGGGCAGGUUCCAAAGGACAAUGGAGGUCUUCAGUUUUUAUGUUGGGUAUUCAAGGUAGCUAGCAAUGCAGAGGAUAGAGUGUUGAAUAUGGAGUCAGGAAGACCUGGAGUUAAAAUCUAGUCUAAGACACCAGCUGUGUCACCAUAGAACUAAGGGAUGUUUUGCCAAUCCUACAAAGAAGCACACUAAAGUGGAUCUGAUACAUAAGAGAACCAUACCCCCUAUCAACAGGGAGGCCUCUGAAGACCUUUACCUAUAUAACCAGGAAUGCGAUCCUCAUUUCUAAGACUGUCUUCAUUGGUGGGGAUUGAUUACUUGAUGUUCCACAUAUGUAUGAAGGUGAAGUUGUUGAGAUGUUGGAAGAGAUAUCCUGGCCUUGGGGCUUUCAUAUUGCUGAGAAAAGCUCCAAAUUCUUUGGAAGUCUCCCUUGCCAAAACAUCUUUCAGAGCAUUUCAGAUGAUCUAUCUGCUCUCCUGCCUCCUGUUGCAAGAGAAGAAAUAUCAUUCCAUUGAUUCCUUUCUAAAAGGACAGGAGACUCUUCUGAACAAUUGCCAACCAAGGUGCCUCCCCACCUCCACCAUG